UAACUUGCCAUGAAUGGCCAGGUAUAAAGUUGGAGAUCCAUUUUGGGCUGGAAGCAUUGUUGCAUACUAGCUUCCUCCUCUCAACUUUUUGGCAAUCACCUCUAAUCCUCAGGUCCAAUGAAUUCAUAGCCUCGACCACAACCCAUAUUCAUGCAAGGGCUGGUGAAAUACCCAUGCGCAUUAAGGAUUUUAUGUACCAUCCAUGAGGCUUGAGCAACUUUAGUGCCCCAAAUAGUUCCUUGCUUCCCAUAGCAUAGGCUUGUAUGUUCGAUAUGUUGAGUUCUCCUGCAGAUUUUCCCAUGAAAUCAAGGUCUUCUUUGAAGUGUACUUCUUCUGUCCAUAGAAAUCUCUUACAUAGUGUC